UAUAUAUAUAAAAAAAAAUUAUCUCCCAUCUUCUCUUGACCCCUGACCCCUCAUUAACCCUUCCUUACCAUCUUAAAAAUUCCCAAGUAUUUCACAGGUAAACAGUUGAGGAUUAGGUUGUUUGAGGAGCCCCCCUCUUACUGCACAGCCUCGUAAUUCUUACCUAAGCCUCACAGCCUCCUACUGUGACCACUUUGUCUCCCCCUCCCCCUUUCAGUCUGAGGAUUGGCUCUUUCAGAGAAAGUAAUGGGGCUGGAGAGGCGGCUCAGCUAAGAGCCUUGUUUGCUCUCAGGCACACCCAUCUUCCAUUGGAAGCUCCCACGUGGUGGCUUAGUCCCAGAGGCUCAGAUGCCCUCUUCUGAACUCAGCAGGCACCAGACAUGCCCAUAGGGCACACAAAAGGAUCUCACUCUAUAACCCCAAUUGGCCUCGCCCUGUAUCCAUCCUCCUGCCUUGUUCUUCUGAAUAUCAGCCUCACAGGUCAUAUGAAAGAUCUUGGGACACUCGUGGAAGGUAGCCAAGUCGCUUCAUCAGCACCAAGCGUCUUGGCUGGAUUAGGAGGGCAAGGCAGGUGGGCCCGAGACUCCUAGAGGUGACCAACCUUGAGCCUGCGUGGGACUCACCCAGGUGUCUCAGCU
rnacentral:sRNA from 1 species